AUGGUGAUGUCCGAGCCUGGCAAGGGACGGAGGAGCCUGGCGUUAGCCUCCGUUGGGUCAUCCAGACUGGAGAGAAAUCCAGCUGAAGCCCACAAAAUAGGCCACGAACUCGGACACACCCGAGCAACACUAGGCACAACCUGGGUCUCACAUGGCAUCAAGUCAUCUAGGAUUUCUGGGGGGCCUAAUAGGGCUUUCAAGGUAAACGAGAUAUUGAAGGAGUGGAUUUUGUGCCGGUGUCCGUGGUCAGCUGAGGUUUUGAACCCAGGUCUCCCAGUCCACGUUAUCACCCUGUCACCACCACACUGGACUGCGCAGGCACGGGGGCUUCCUCGGCCAGGCUCCCACCCUGCUUGCCAAGGGUGGGCGAACGUAUCCGAGAAGGAAGCUUUGCCACGGCUGCAGGCGGAGAAGGCUUACCGAGAACGGGCGGGUCGCCAUCCAGGACGACUGUCGGAGAGGAAAGAGAAGCGAGGGAUGAGAGGCUUUCCUCUGGCCCGGAGGAAAAGGCCCCAAGAAGGAAGCCCCAAGCUGGGGGUGGGGUGGGGGUUCGUGAAUCCUGCGGCCCGAGAAGGGCUGGCAAGGCGGGGCUGCGGCAGAUCCGAGAGCAGCCUCCUCCCGCCGGCGACGCACCUUCUUCCAGGGCGAAGCCCGCUCCUCGCAGGGGCAGGACCCUUUCCAGGGACACGUCCUCGGCGGCGAUGGCCAUGCGCCGGUUCGUUGAAGGGCCUGUCCCGUGGAGGAGUGGGAAACCCAAAGGCCAUCCGGAAAAUCCCCAGACCAGGAUGGGAAGGAAGCUCAGAAAUGGUACCUCGCAGAAGUCAAAGCCGGCGGUGCAGCCGGCGGCUGCCUUCUGACCCCGGUAGCACCCUUCUCCAUGGCAGGUGAAGCUGGUGCACACCUUCCCCUGAGGAGGCACAGAAGGAAACGUCAUCCUCGGGUGGGGGUGGGGUCUGGAGUGGGGAGGCUGGGCGUGGCUGUGGCCGGGGGGGGCGUUUCCUCCCCCAGAGGUGAUGAACAGCUGGCUGCAAAAGGUCCCAUGUUCUCCCCCCCCCGGAAAGGAAAGAAGUCAUCCAGCCAGAACAGGAAGUGGUACCUACAUUUCUGGGGGGCGCUGGGGUGGUGGUCGUGGUGAUGGUGGUGGUGGUGGUGGUGGUAGCUGGGGUGGUGGUGGUUGGUAGAUCACCUGGAACAGACCAGAGAAGAGGUGGGUGCAUACCUCUGAGGGCUAGACGGAGAUUCGGGGGCGGGGGUGGCAUUCGGUGGUCCAGGGACUGAGCAGCCAGGCACAGCCAAGAGGAACCACUGAGGGAGGGAGGCAGGGAGGGAGGGGGUCAGUCAGCACCCACACCCCCAAUAUGCAUCCAGACUGCCCCCUACCCCCCCCGGUGGGGCAUUGGGUGGGGUGGGGCUGGCUUACCAUAGGCGGUGGCAUUGAGGCGCAGGCAGUUGGGGGUGCUGCAGCAUUCCAGGGUGCAGGGGCUCAGGUCAGAGCCAUCCCCGUUGCGCCCACACAUCUCCGUGGCAUUGGCGCCCCCACACUCCUGGCUGCACUGGGCCGUGUAGCUGGUGCUGUUCAGGCGGAAAAGCUGCCCGAGCCAGAGAGGCACGAGGAGGGUCAGGCCUCAGCCCCAGCAAAUAUAGGGGAAGGGAGCUGUAAUGAGGGCCCACCCAUGGCUCCAGGCUAGAGCCCAGGGAUCCACUGAGGGUCCCUCACACCCCCUGCCUCCCCUCCCCAAGGGAGCACUAGGGCCCCCACCUCACAGAGCGUUGCGUUGUGGCAGGUCUCGGUGCGGUUUCCAAGGGUUUCCAACUGGUAGCAUCUCUCCCCUGAACACUGGAAGCUUUGGCAAGUGAGCUGCAGCAAGAGAAGGUGCUGAAGAUGUGC
rnacentral:lncRNA from 1 species